rnacentral:rRNA from 1 species
GACGUAGGGGGCGAGCGUUGUCCGGAUUUAUUGGGCGUAAAGCGUGCGUAGGCGGCUGCGCAAGUCGGUUGUGAACCCCGGGGCUCAACCCCGGAACUGCAUCCGAUACUGCGUGGCUAGAGGUAGGUAGGGGAGAUCGGAAUUCCUGGUGUAGCGGUGAAAUGCGUAGAGUAUCUGGAGGAACGACCGGUGGCGAAGGCGGCAUCCUGGCCGAAAUUGGACGCUGCGGCGGCGAAAGCCCAGGGGAGCCAAAGCGGG